CGGCCUAGCCUGCCUUCUCCACCUCCCCUCAGUUGAGCCUAGAGUAGAGGGGCCAGGCACCCUCCUUCAUGGAAGAGAUAUUUGAGGAAGGAACCUCACCUGGGCUGUCCUCGCCUCACAUUU
ensembl:scaRNA